rnacentral:rRNA from 1 species
CUACGGGUCGCACCAGUGGGGAAUAUUGGACAAUGGGGGAAACCCUGAUCCAGCAAUGCCGCGUGUGUGAAGAAGGCCUGCGGGUUGUAAAGCACUUUCGGUUGGGAGGACUGCUUCUAGCACUAAUAUUGUUGGAAGUUGACGUUACCUUCAGAAGAAGCACCGGCUAACUCCGUGCCAGCAGCCGCGGUAAUACGGAGGGUGCAAGCGUUAAUCGGAAUUACUGGGCGUAAAGCGCGCGUAGGCGGCUAGAUCAGUCGGGUGUGAAAGCCCCGGGCUUAACCUGGGAACUGCAUCCGAUACUGUCUAGCUUGAGUACAGGAGAGGAGAGUGGAAUUCCACAUGUAGCGGUGAAAUGCGUAGAUAUAUGGAGGAACACCGGUGGCGAAAGCGGCUCUCUGGCUUGUAACUGACGCUGAGGCUCGAAAGCGUGGGGAGCAAACAGGAUUAGAUACCCUCGUAGUC